AGGUGCCCAAACAUCACCCACGUCUAACGCGCAGGCUGAGAAACAGCCUCAAGCUCCAGGGCAACAAGGGGGCGACAAAAAGUCAAGGAAGUCAAAAGGAAGAAAGAAGGGGCUUUUGAAGGGGCAAAGAAAAUUAGCUAAAUACUUUAUUUUGUUUGCGGCAAUCGUCAUAUUAAUAAUCCUGCUAGAUGUAUACGUUGUUCCCUUCUACUCAAGCAAGGAUGACU